UGAGGAGUCGCCAAGUGGUAAGGCACCUGACUCUGAAUCAGGCAUUCGCAGGUUCGAUCCCUGCCUCCUCAG
rnacentral:tRNA from 2 species